rnacentral:rRNA from 1 species
UACGAACUGUGCAAACGUUAUUCGGAAUCACUGGGCUUACAGGGUGCGUAGGCGGCUUGUUAAGUCGGGUGUGAAAGCCCCCGGCUCAACCGGGGAAUUGCGCCCUAAACUGGCGAGCUGGAGUGAGAUAGGGGUGUGUGGAACUUCCGGUGGAGCGGUGAAAUGUGUUGAUAUCGGAAGGAACGCCGGUGGCGAAAGCGACACACUGGAUCUUGUCUGACGCUGAGGCACGAAAGCCAGGGGAGCGAACGGG